ACCUACAAACAUGGAAUAGCUGUAGGAAAAUAAGCCCCGAAAGCACUGCUGUGUAUUAUGGAGCCUGUACGAUGUCGACAGGCUCUUUUUUUUAU
rnacentral:sRNA from 1 species